GUCCAGACUCCUACGGGAGGCAGCAGUGGGGAAUAUUGGGCAAUGGACGCAAGUCUGACCCAGCAACGCCGCGUGAAGGAAGAAGGCUUUCGGGUUGUAAACUUCUUUUAAGGGGGAAGAGCAGAAGACGGUACCCCUUGAAUAAGCCACGGCUAACUACGUGCCAGCAGCCGCGGUAAUACGUAGGUGACAAGCGUUGUCCGGAUUUACUGGGUGUAAAGGGCGUGCAGGCGGGGACGCAAGUCAGAUGUGAAAACCACGGGCUCAACCUGUGGCCUGCAUUUGAAACUGUGUUUCUUGAGUACUGGAGAGGCAGACGGAAUUCCUAGUGUAGCGGUGAAAUGCGUAGAUAUUAGGAGGAACACCAGUGGCGAAGGCGGCCUGCUGGACAGCAACUGACGCUGAGGCGCGAAAGCGUGGGGAGCAAACAGGAUUAGAUACCCCGGUAAG
rnacentral:rRNA from 1 species